AAAUUCCCAACCAUUUUAUUAAUUACAUUAAACAUAAAUGGAUGAAAUUCUCAAGAUAGGAGUAGAGAUUGUCAAACUGGAUAGGAAAAAAAGCAAGACCCAACCAUGUGCUAUCUACAGAAGAAAUACUUAAAAUAACAAAAACACAGAGUAAAAGUGAAAGGUUGGAAAAUAAUAUGCCAUGCAAACAAUAAGCAUAAUAAACAGUAUUUGAAAAAAAUUAACUUCAAACGUGGAGCAUUACUGGAAGCAAAGAUUUCUUAAUGUAAAUAGUCAAUAUAUCAGGAAAAUGCUAAUAAUUAUACACUUAACAACAAAGAUUCAGAGUUCCCAUCAUGGUGCAGCAGAAACGAAUCUGACUAGGAACCAUGAGGUUGCAGGUUCGAUCCCUGGCCUUGCUCAGUGGGUUAAGGAUCUGGUAUUGCUGUGAGCUGUGGUGUAGGUCACAGAUGCAGUUCAGAUCUGGCAUUGCUGUGGCUCUGGCAUAGGCUGGCAGCAACAUCUCCAAUUGGACUCCUAGCCUGGGAACCUCCAUAUGCUGCAGGUGCAGCCCUAAAAAUACAAAACGACAAAAAAAAAAAAACACAAAGAUUCAAAACACAUUAAGCAAGAACUGAGAGAGAGAAAUCAGUUGGAAAUGUUACCAUUCCUCUCUCAUUACCUGAAAGAACAAUUAAACACACACACACACAAAAUAAAAUCAGAAAGAAUAUAGAAGUAUGAGCACUUUCAGCCAAUUUGACCUAGUUGACAGAAAAUAUUAUACUCAACUACAGAAUAUACAACAUUUUCAACUGUACAUGGCCUAUUUGCCAAAAUAGACCACAUUACAAGCCAUAAAACAAAUCUGGAAGAGAUAGCUGAUUUGCCUACUCCAUAGACACACAGACACAGAGAAUUAGGCAAAGUGAGAGGAAUAGGUUCCAAUCAAAAGAAGAAGACAAAGAUCUCAGAAAAAAGUACUAAGUAAACACAGAUGAGCAAAAUACAUGAUAAAGAGUUAAAAGUGAUGGUUAUAAAUAUGCUCACUGAUCCCAGGAGAAAAAUGGAUGAACACAAUGCAAACUCAACAAAAAGUAAGUAUGAGAAAGUGCCAAACAAAAGUUAUAACUGAACUGAAAAUAUAUUAGAGAGGUUCAGCAGAACACUGGAUGAGGUAAAACAAUGAAUCAGUGAGCUCUGGAAGAAUGAAAAGCAAAAUGAAAAAAGAAUUUUCAAAAGGGAAGAUACAUUAGGGGGCCUUUGGGACAACAUCAAGUGUAAUAGCAUUUGCAUUAUAUGGCUCCCAGCAGGAUGAGAGAGAGAGAGAUAAAUUACUUGAAGAAAUAGUGGCUGAAAACUUCCCCAUCUGGGGAAAGAAACAGACAUCCAGAUCCAGGAAUCCCAGAGAGUUUCAAAUAAGAUGAACUCAAAAAGAUACAUUACAAUUUAAAUGGUAAAGUUGAGGAUAAAGAGAGAAACCUAAAAGGAUCAAGCAGAAAUAAGCUUGUUACAUACAAGGAAAACCCCAUAAGCUAUAAACAUAUUUUUUAGCAGAAACUUUAUAGGCCAGAAGGGAUAAACAUGAUGUAUUGAAAGUGCUAAAACGAAAAACUUUCCAACCAAGAUGUUGGAUACCAUGACCAUUCAGUACUGAAGGCAAGAUCAAGAUUUUCCUGGAUAAACAAAAGCUAGAGGAGUUCAUCACCACUAAACCAGUUCUACAAGAAAUGUUCUGUUAAGAUUUAAAGAAAUAAUACUAAUUAAUAAUGAGGAAUUAUACAAAAUGAAAAAGUCUCACUGGAAAGUGUAAAUGUAUAAUGAAGGUAGAUGCAUCACUUACAAAGCAAGCAUGCAGAUCAAAAAACAAAAUAAUAAAAGUGACUAAAAUUACAAUAAUUAGUUAGGGAUGCCUAAAAUAAGUGGGUAUAAACUGUGUCAGCAAUAAAUAAAUUUCAAAACACCAAAAUCACAGUUUAUUCUGCAACCACAAAGGUAAAAUUAAAUAGAAAUAAACAUUAAUUUAAAAAUCUAGGUGAUCUAGAUACUGGACAUUACUGCAUUUCUGAACAUUUCAUUGAUCACGGCAUUGAACAGGGACACUGGAAAAUACUUUUAAAGGAUAAUGCAUAUGAACAGCAAAAAUUUGGGGUUACAGCUUAAGACAACACUUAAAAUUUGUAACUUUAAAUGUUCAAAGGAAGCUAGCUAAGGUAGACACUUAAGCCAAUCUAAAAAAGUAAGUAAAUUUUUUCAAAGAAAGAAAGUAAUAAAAAUACCAAGAACAAUGAAACAAAAGAUAAAACAAUAGAGAAAAUUUUAAAGUGAAAAUUUAGCUCAUAUAAAAAAUUCAUAAAAUCAAUAAAAUCUGAGAUGAAAAAAAAACGGAGUUCCCAUAGUGAUGCAGCAGAACUGAAUCUGACUAGGAACCAUGAGGUUGCAGGUUCGAUCCCUGGCCUUGUUCAGUGGGUUAAGGAUCUGGCAUUGCUGUGAGCUGUGGUGUAGGUUGCAGAUGUGGCUCGGAUCUGGCAUGGCUGUGGCUGUGGUGUGGGCCAGCAACUGUAGCUCCAAUUAGACCCCUAGCCUGGGAACCUCCAUAUGCUGUGGGUGCGGCCCUAAAAAGACAAAAGACAAAAAACAAACAAACAAAUAAAUAAAAUCUGAGAUGAAUGAGAGUGGGACUGCCAAUAUGAUGAAUGAUUAAUGAAAGAGGGACUAUCGCUGCAGAUCCUAGACGUAAAGAGGAAAACUACGAACAGCCAUAAGCCAUUAAAUCUGACAGUUUAAAUGAAGUAGACAAAUUUAUUGAAGUGUGUGACUUAUGGAACUGAGAGAAGAAAUAAAAAUUUGUGAUAACCUACUAUCUAUCAAAAUCAAAUCUGUUUCAAAAACCUCACCACAAAGAAAAGUCCAGGUCAAAAGAGCUUCACUGCUUAAUCAAAUAUUUAAGAAAUAAUACCAACUUUAUACCAACUCAAAAAAAAAAAAA
rnacentral:lncRNA from 1 species